rnacentral:rRNA from 1 species
AGCGGCGGACGGGUGAGUAACACGUGGGUAACCUACCUAUAAGACUGGAAUAACUUCGGGAAACCGGAGCUAAUGCCGGAUAACAUAUAGAACCGCAUGGUUCUAUAGUGAAAGAUGGUUUUGCUAUCACUUAUAGAUGGACCCGCGCCGUAUUAGCUAGUUGGUAAGGUAAAGGCUUACCAAGGCGACGAUACGUAGCCGACCUGAGAGGGUGAUCGGCCACACUGGAACUGAGACACGGUCCAGACUCCUACGGGAGGCAGCAGUAGGGAAUCUUCCGCAAUGGGCGAAAGCCUGACGGAGCAACGCCGCGUGAGUGAUGAAGGUUUUCGGAUCGUAAAACUCUGUUAUUAGGGAAGAACAAAUGCGUAAGUAACUGUGCGCAUCUUGACGGUACCUAAUCAGAAAGCCACGGCUAACUACGUGCCAGCAGCCGCGGUAAUACGUAGGUGGCAAGCGUUAUCCGGAAUUAUUGGGCGUAAAGCGCGCGUAGGCGGUUUCUUAAGUCUGAUGUGAAAGCCCACGGCUCAACCGUGGAGGGUCAUUGGAAACUGGGAAACUUGAGUGCAGAAGAGGAAAGUGGAAUUCCAUGUGUAGCGGUGAAAUGCGCAGAGAUAUGGAGGAACACCAGUGGCGAAGGCGACUUUCUGGUCUGUAACUGACGCUGAUGUGCGAAAGCGUGGGGAUCAAACAGGAUUAGAUACCCUGGUAGUCCACGCCGUAAACGAUGAGUGCUAAGUGUUAGGGGGUUUCCGCCCCUUAGUGCUGCAGCUAACGCAUUAAGCACUCCGCCUGGGGAGUACGACCGCAAGGUUGAAACUCAAAGGAAUUGACGGGGACCCGCACAAGCGGUGGAGCAUGUGGUUUUAUUUCGAAGCAACGCGAAGAACCUUACCAAAUCUUGACAUCCUUUGAAAACUCUAGAGAUAGAGCCUUC